GAAUUUCGUCGAACCAAGAAAGAAAAACAAAACAAAACAAUGAUAAUUUCUUUCGAACCGAGAGUCUCGCCGUUCAAACCGCAAAUAUUUCAACGAACGAACAAAAAUUCGAUUCGGCACGCAACUUCCGGUGGAAGGGGAACCGAAGAUUGCCGAACGAAUUAGCAUCUAAGCGACGAAGACUGACGAAGUGGGGCGCGGGGUGUCAUUGUACUGUCGAACUUCAUAAGGUUAAGUUGUAUUAUUUCAUUUGACGCGCGUAACAUAACCUACUUUGAUCAUCACGUCCCGAUGUAUCGUAGCUUUUAUUGCUCUUGGUUAUCGUUUAUACAUUGGUAUUGUUAUUCGUUCAAUUAACACGUGUUCAUCUAACAAUUUGUCAUAACACUUCUGUUUGGUUAUCAGAAUCACUGGUAGCUUCUAUCAUUAAUUCUUCAAGAUAGAUAUCAACUUUAACUUCGAUUUAUUCCACAUACAAUAUGGCGGAUUUGAAUGCAACAAUGAAAUAGCGCGAACAGGGAUCUUUCAAAUAUAGUCGCCAUGUUUGAAAUUACAAUCUGAUAACUUCAUGAAGAUUUCUUCCAGUCUAUACUUCUACCAUGGUUUCUUCUUGAUAACAACAUCAUGUUUCGUAUUUAAGAGUGAG